UACGUAGGCAGCGAGCGUUGUUCGGAAUUACUGGGCGUAAAGAGUGUGUAGGCGGUGCUCCCAGUCUGUUGUGAAAUCUCCCGGCUUAACUGGGAGGGUGCAGCGGAAACUAGAGUGCUAGAGGGUGGGAGAGGUAAGCGGAAUUCCUGGUGUAGCGGUGAAAUGCGUAGAUAUCAGGAGGAACACCUGUGGCGAAAGCGGCGCACUGGACCAUAACUGACGCUGAUGCGCGAAAGCUAGGGGAGCAAACAGG
rnacentral:rRNA from 1 species